AGCAGUCGCCGCGGGAAUACGUAGGGUGCAAGCGUUAAUCGGAAUUACUGGGCGUAAAGCGUGCGCAGGCGGUUAUAUAAGACAGAUGUGAAAUCCCCGGGCUCAACCUGGGAACUGCAUUUGUGACUGUAUAGCUAGAGUACGGCAGAGGGGGAUGGAAUUCCGCGUGUAGCAGUGAAAUGCGUAGAUAUGCGGAGGAACACCGAUGGCGAAGGCAAUCCCCUGGGCCUGUACUGACGCUCAUGCACGAAAGCGUGGGGAGCAAACAGGAUUAGAUACCCCGGUAGUCCUGUCUCUUAUACA
rnacentral:rRNA from 1 species